rnacentral:rRNA from 1 species
GACGAAGGAUGCAAGCGUUAUCCGGAUUCAUUGGGUUUAAAGGGAGCGUAGGUGGUCUUCUAAGUCAGUGGUGAAAUCUCUCGGCUUAACUGAGAAAUUGCCGUUGAUACUGGGAGACUUGAGUGUAGUUGCCGUUGGCGGAAUAUGACAUGUAGUGGUGAAAUACAUAGAGAUGUCAUAGAACACCGAUUGCGAAGGCAGCUAACGAAACUAUAACUGACACUGAGGCUCGAAAGUGCGGGGAUCAAACAGG